CCCCUAGAUGUUCUGGGCCGCACGCGCGCUACACUGAACAGUUCAACAAGUCUUAACCUUGGCCGAUAGGUCUGGGUAAUCUUUGAACGCUGUUCGUGAUUGGGAUAGACCUUUGCAAUUAUGGGUCUUCAACGAGGAAUUCCCAGUAAGUGCAAGUCAUAAGCUUGCGCUGACUACGUCCCUGCCCUUUGUACACACCGCCCGUCGCUACUACCGAUUGAAUGAUUUAGUGAGGACUUCGGACUGGGACCGAUGCGGCUUUCGGACUGCGUCGGUAUUCUGGAAAGAUGUCCAAACUGUAUCAUUUAGAGGAAGUAAAAGUCGUAACA
rnacentral:rRNA from 1 species